GGUUGGAAAAUAUUCCUCAGCGAUGCAGCCCGGUCCCGCUCAACAUCCCUGGUGUUCACAUGCUCCGGAAAGCGGUGCGCCGAAGGGAGCCCCCGGGCCUAGGCCUAGGCUGGGAGCUUGCUGGCCCGGGCGUACCUGGGUGACAUUUCCCAGUGCGCAGAUCUCAGCAUCCUGGCAGCCAACCUCAACUCUCUUGGCCACCAUAAAGCAGUCACUGAAAGGACACAGCUGCAGGAACUCGAGACUAAGCACUAAAUAAAUCCACAGGGCUGGAGGCAGAAGUUACAUACAUGACCUUAACACAGUACUCUGCGGUUAUGAGUGAACAGAUCAGCAUCUCAUGCUGCUGGAGCUGCGUAUGAAGGAUCAGUUGACGCCUCAGCCGGUGCUGUGUUUCUAGUGGGGGAGAUGUCCACUUCACAAACCAAAACAAAUCCCCAAGCCACGCCGACAUGAAAGGAGCCUCCUUAACUUUGGCUGGCAUCCGAGGGAGAAGGGCUUGCUAGGAGGGGAGCGAACUGUUUAUUCUCUCAGAUAUCGCUUCAGAUGGGAGUCGAUGCGCAGGCCCAUGGGCCCAGUUAGUGCCAAGUUCUGGACUGCAAGGUGAGAUGUUGGAAGGAGGCUGGGAGAUGUGGCUGGAGGAUGGACGGGACCGAGAAACCGCGAAACCGCGAGAGGUGAGGCUGAACAUCGACCCACUUCGAACAACACUGCCGAAGCUUUUGACUCCAACCAGGCUCUGCUUCAGAGCAGAUCUACCACCUAUCACCUGACCUUGGGCAAGUUUCUUUAUUUCCCACAUCUGUUCAAUGAAGAGAAUAUCAAUUUUUGCUUCUUUAGGUUACUGUGUGCUUAUAUAAGAUCAUGUAUUCACAGUGCCAAGCAGCCAACGGUACUCAAUACAUUUCCUCUUAAAAUCUGGUAACUGUAAAUGGGACCCUUGGUCAGUUAGAAUGCCU
rnacentral:lncRNA from 1 species